AAACAAAAGACAAACGUUGAAAUCAACAACCCGGAUAUUGGUCACAAUUACGUCAAAGGUCACACGAAAUAAAGACAAUUUAUAACGAAUUCGUUUGAAAGUGUUCACUCGCAGAUGGCAUGGACCCCGGACAAAUUACAGUAAAAAAUAAGAAAAGUCCUCCGAUCAAAGUUCCUUCCAGCCAACUCCGAGAGGGAAAGAUAAACAAUUGAAUGGCAAGCUCGAAUUUAAUAUAAAAAUACUGGGACAAUGGAAAAACCCUGCACUUGUAGUCUCUGUGGUUUGGAUGCAAGGGACAAUAAUGGAAGUUCGGUUGGAUCACAACACGGUGCUUCUUUUGGACGAGACAGGGAUAUUCGUUGUCAAUGGCGUCAACAACAUUCCUAAGGGCAACCUAUGCCUACUUCAGGGCCCUCUCUCCAGAACCUGUCCUGCGCGCGGUAAAGAUGGCAGACCUCUCUGAACGCGCUGCGGUUCACAGAAGAAUGUGGAAGUUGGAGGUGGAAGGCCUUCAGCAAACGCUCACAUAGAAAGAAGCAUAAGCAGUAUGUUGCUAUCAAUGCCUGUUUGUUUUCAUUCAUUAUUUUUAGCUAAAUGUAAAUACAGCUACUGGUUUUGAGCAGUU